GGCAACUUGGCGUAGUGGUUUGAGUGUUGGACUAUGACUCUGGAGACCAGGGUUUGAUUCCCAGUACAGCCA
rnacentral:tRNA from 1 species